CGUGUUAGGUGUUGACAAAGGAAGAUAUAGAUCUGUUAAGAGCCCUAUAAGAUGGAAAUUACAAGAUGGAUAGCAUGUUCAUUUCUUGCAAUUUUAAAUUUUGUGGAAGCAUUUGGACGGACCUAUACAUAUGAAUUUGGAAGGCACUGCUCGGUUUUCUGGAAAGAGUUGGAUGAGAAUGAUCGGAUUUACGUUGACUACAACGGAAGGGACGUUGCAAGUUACUGUGAUGACUACUCCUUCAAAGGAAAGGGAGAUGAAGUAUUAGAUGAAUAUGAAGUCUGUGUGACUCCUUUUAAUUUUAUUGAUCCAGACUGUGCCGUGCGAUUAGAUUAUAAAACUUCAUAUAGCGGUAGCACGUUACAGAGUGUAACAUGUACAGAAAAUAACAACAAGAAAUACUGUGAUCCCCAGGACGAAACUCUUUAUAUAUUUUUUGAGUAACGUUACAAAAAGGACACAUCAAAUGCCAAAUUUAAGCUGCUUAUCACAACCAACAAAGUUUCUGAUUAUUAUUAUCUCAGAAAAAGGAUUUGCAUGGCGCUGUAGUUGGAGCUAUCGUCGGUGGAGUAUUCGGUGGUAUUGUUUUGAUCUCACUGCUGACUGGACUUGUUUGUUGGUGUGUGUGCAGGAGAAAACCCACACAAGGACAGGUGUUAACCCCAAGUCAGGGAAAUCAAACUUCAGUGGUCAACCAACCAUUGUAUCCACAAGCAGCGUAUUCAACACAACCGGCGGGUAACAAUGUAACCCUCUAUCCGACAGCAAACUACGCAACACAAUAUUCAACAGGGUAUAAUACACAACCUCCUCUCCAAUCCCAGCAGGCAGGUGACUGGCAACCUACAGAAAAAACACCACCCGCCCCUCCACCUAGCUAUAGUAGUGUGACGUGAUUUCAUUUUCUUGGGGAAUCUUUAUCUUGAUAUUUCAGUCCAGCUCGUUUUCUCCUUUGUUAGAAGUAUAUUUUUAAAGUGACAUUAAAUGGAAUUAUAUUGUAUAGCUCAUUCGAAGUUUACCAUUGGUGAUUUGCUAAUGCACUCCUCACCAAAAAAAAAAAAACUCCACUUUAAGUAAUAGCAUUACACCGUAACACGGUGUUGCUUUUGUAUAUAUUCUAUGGUAUGUGAGCAGUGUUGACUGAUACAUUCAUGAUUGUAAAAUAUUUAGCAAAAGUAUGCAUUAUCAUACCCCCCGAACGAAGUUCAGGGGCGUAUAUAGGAAUUACCCUGUCUGUCUGUGCAUAACUUCUUUGUUCUUUGACUUAGGCAUACCAUAUUUGGCACACAGGUGGAUCACCAUGAGAUGAUGUGUCGACUACCUUCAUGACCUCUAUAUGACCUUGACCUCAAGGUCAAAAUUAAAGGGUUUUUUUUACAAUGGAUUCGUGUCCGGGCCAUAACUUCUUUGUUCUUUGACAUAGGCAUACCAUAUUUGACACAUGAGUGUAUCACCAUGAGACGAUGUGUCAUGUACCUUCAAGACCUCUAUAUGACCUUGAACUUUGACCUCAAGGUCAAAAUUGAUUAUAGGGUUUUGACAUAGUCAUACCAUAAGACAAGGGUGUAUCACCAUGAGACUGUGUGUCAUGUACAUUCAUGACCUCUUUAUGACCUUGACUUUUUAUCUCAAGGUCAAAAUUAUAGGUUUAUGCCAUGGAUUUGUGUUCGGACUAUAUCUUCCAUUUUCUUUUACAACGGCAUACCAUAUUUUUACACUCAGGAAAGAGGUAAUUUAUACCUAUUAACAACACCCUUUGGGAGAUUGGUGUAAGCGGGGGGUAUUCUUAGUGAGCAUUGCUCACAGUACCUCUUGUUCUAUCAGAUUUUUCAGAUUAAUUACACAGAACUGUUCUACAGAUAUACGAGUAUGUACAGGUUAUACAGUCACUUAACAGUACAAAAUCAAAACCUUAUCUUGAUCCCACCAUAGUAUGUUUAGAAUAUGACCUGUAUGUUUAUGAACGGUUAUACACCUAUUAUUUUAACAUGAAGCGGCAACGUACUGCAUUGCUAUCUUUACGUUUUAAGAAUGCUUUUCUAUUUUUGUGAAAUCGUGGGCCACCUGAUUGAACAUAAAGGUGAACCAGCAACAUACUGUGUUGGGUCGUCAGUUUCAUUAGAGUGCAGUCAAUACAAAGUUUCAACUCAAACUGAUUAUACAAAACAUUUGAUAUCAAUACAGUUAGGGGUUCAGAUCGUGAAGGAUGUUGUAAAUUUAACAAGGGAAAACACUGUAUUAACUGGAUUUGCAUGUUCAUAUAGGGUUUUAUGAUCAGGUUUGUAACCCUUCAUAAAGUUAUGAUGCUGAAUUUAUUAGACUGAAACUGAAUUUAUUUACAUGUAUAUAGAGAGAAAUAAAUAUACAUUAUAUAAACAACAACAAACGGAAUGCAAUAUAAAUAACCAUAACACCAAAUAUCUAGAAGUUGGAAAUUUUCUCGUAUGUUCUAUCCCAAGCCUAAACUUGUUUGUAAACCAAUUUUUUGUGUUUUAUUGAAGUUUUAUUGUAACAUUCAAUAAUAGUUCAUAGUUUUGCUAGAUUGGCUCAGUUAGUUACAGCAAUGUGCCAUAUUUUAAACUAUAUACUUAAUUAUUUUAUGUUAAACAUUCUUUUAAACACCAUGCUUAAUUAUAUGAUGUUAAGCAGCUGUAAUUCUAUAUAUUUCACAUAUGUUCUCUAAGACUCUUAAUUAAAUUAAUAUCACAUUUAACAUGUAUUUUUGUAUGUAAUAUCAAUAUACGCAUUUAUUCGGGGUUAUACAUGGUGUUUCAAUAUGAAAAUUGGUUCGUGAAUGACUGGCUAGAAGUUGCUUGUUUACAUUGUUGUAAAUUGUUAUAAGGCAUAUUUCAAUUUAUUUCGUAAAUUACUCUGUGUAAAGUUUUCAUUUUCCAGAA